GACGUAGGUGGCGAACGUUAUCCGGAAUCAUUGGGCGUAAAGGGUGCGUAGAUGGCAUGAUAAGUUAUUAGUGGGAAAUCGAGGCUCAACCUCGUGGAAGCUGGUAAUACUGUUUUGCUUGAGUGCAGGAGAGGUUAACGGAACUCCAUGUGGAGCGGUAAAAUGCGUAGAUAUCUGGAGGAACACCGGUGGCGAAGGCGGCAUCCUGGACCGGCAUUGACGCUGAGGCGCGAAAGCCAGGGGAGCAAACGGG
rnacentral:rRNA from 1 species